GUGUUUUAGGAAAACGGUACUAUUUAUUCUUCCAUAUAGGCGACAAUACUAACAAUUCCUAAAUUUACCAUUUUUUAUAAUAAAAACCUGGAUAAAACAGUUGUGUGGUGUUAGAACUUUAUCAUUCUAUUUUAAAAAUUAAAGCCAAAUAUAGUAUCAUGACCAAUUUCCAACGGAGCUUGUUUAUGUUAUCCAUGCCCACCGUCAUUUUACACCAAUUUUUGGAAAUUUUGUAAGCCUUUUCGAAUAAUUCUCUAGAAAAUAUUUCAAUAGGUUUUAAAAUUUAUAUUGUAAAUUUACACUCUGCAGUUAUUCAUAAUAAUUAAAAAAAUAUAUUGUACCCUUACAUCCAAUCACAGCGCUCCUAAUUUGACUUCCUUCACCUAGCUUGGGUACAAAAAAGGCCAACCUAAUGCUUGGAAAAUGUAAUACUACCGUUUUCCCUUUAAGUUGUAUAAACAAAGAUUUCUAUAGACGGGUGUGAAACAAAUCGCAAUAGAUCAGUGCAUAUUUCAUCUACAUUUAUGUAUUUUAUAAUUAAGAAUCACAUAGUGCUAUAAUUUUAAUGUGUAUUGUAUAUAUAUAUAUAUAUAUAUAUAUUUGAAAUAAGUUUCCCAAUUAAAGAUCCUUUUUAUAGUCUAAAAAGCAUGAAAUGAUAAGCAAUUGCUUUUGAUAUUUCAUCUUAAACAUUGAUGCUAAUUCAAAUAUUUCAGUCUUGAUACUUACAGAAGUAUAUAAAUACAGCUUGGUUUCGUCUCUGUGGGAUCUGCUUACUGAAAUAGUACUUUAUAGUAGUUGUACUGCUAUGUUUAUUGCCCACCUACGUCCCAUGUUUGUUGUUCUAUCUUGUCAAUUGUUAUGUAAAAAUAUUAUUGUCCGUGUUUAUCUUGUUAUUGCCUAGUAUACGUAAUCGUAUUUAUAACAACCCAUUGAUUAGACGUGAGAAAUAAGAGUUUUACAUUCACUUGUCGGUAGAUAUGUAAAGACGCAAAAAAAAAAACAAGUCAGGAGUAUGAUAGUUGUUGUCCAAUCGUUUGAUGUGUUUGAGCUUUUGAUUUUGCCAAUUAAUAAAGGAC
rnacentral:lncRNA from 1 species